GGUUCGAUGGUGUAGUUGGUUAUCACGUCUGUCUCACAUGUAGUGCACAGGAGGUCUCCGGUUCGAGCCCGGAUCGAACCA